GACGAACGCUGGCGGCGUGCUUAACACAUGCAAGUCGAACGGAAAGGCCCCUUUGGGGGUACUCGAGUGGCGAACGGGUGAGUAACACGUGAGUAACCUGCCCUUGACUUCGGGAUAACCUCAGGAAACUGGGGCUAAUACCGGAUAGGAAUCCUUGCUGCAUGGUGGGGGUUGGAAAGCUUCUGUGGCUUUGGAUGGACUGGCGGCGUAUCAGCUUGUUGGUGGGGUAGUGGCUUACCAAGGCUUUGACCGGAAGCCGGACUGAGGGGGUGACCGGCCACAUUGAGACUGAGGUAAGGCCCAGGCUCCUACGGGAGGAAGAAGUGGGGAAUAUUGAACAAUGGGCGGAAGCCUGAUGCAGCAAGGCCGCGGGCGGGAUGACGGCCUUCGGGUUGUAAACCGCUUUCAGCAGGGGCGAAGCUUGUGGUGACGGUACCUGAAGAAGAAGCACCGGCUAACUACGUG
rnacentral:rRNA from 1 species